rnacentral:rRNA from 1 species
GAUACCCUAUUAUUUUGAAUGUUAAUUUUUGAACUAUAAUUAUUAUGAGUUAAGGUCUUUAAAGUUAAAGAUUUUGGCGGUAUUUUAGUCUUUUCAGAGGAACCUGUUUUUUAAUCGAUGGUCCACGAUAAAUUUUACUUUUGCUUUAAAUUUAUAUAUCGUCGUUAUUUAAAUAUUUUAUUAGAAUUUGAAUGUUUGGGAUUUUUAAUUUUAAAUUAGUUCAGAUCAAGGUGUAGUUUAUGCUUGAGUAAAAAUGGGUUACAUUAUAUUUAUAUGUGGAUUUGGAAUUGAAGAUUUUUUUGAAAAUGGAUUUGAAAGUAAUAUUUUAUGUUUAUUUAAUGUGAUUUAGCUCUAAAAUAUGCACACAUCGCC